AAUGGACUCGAUUUACUAAGGGAAAGAUUUUGGCAAAUCGAAGGAUAUGAUCUUCAAAAGGACUCGGGAAACUAACUAAUUUUAAGAACACUAAUCAUGGAUUCUUCUGAAGAUCACUGCGACCAAGGUGAUUUCGAAUUUGCGUUUAACAAUAACAACUUCUCUGAUCGUGUUCUUCGCAUCUAUAUCUUUGAUGAGUCUACACAGUCCCCAUUAGGUGUUUUCGGAAGCUUCAAAUGAAGAAAAGUAAGCUGCAAGUGCAUCUGAAGCUGCAAAUGAAGAAGGGGUGAUGGAAACGAGAGAAUAUAUAUCUAUCGAUAAAUGAAGAAGAUGAAACACAAUCGGUUCGGUUUGGUUCGGUUCGGUUAUGUUCGGUUAUGAAGAUCAUCUUAUACAUAACUAACCAUAACCGAAUGGUUCGGUUAUGAGAUCUCCAUAACCAUAAAAUGUUGCAAGUAAGACAACAAAUGUGGUGUACAAGGAGAUUUUUAGUGAAAUUUGAAAUUUAUUUUGUACUUUUUAAAC